AUGUGUUUUUUAUUGAACAAAUUUCUUUGGUGGCGGGAGCAAUCCUACCGCCAGAGGUUAUAACUAAACCAAACUUUUUAUUUACAGUCAAACUUGAUUUAUUAUUACAAUAGUCAAAACUUUCAACAACGGAUCUCUUGGUUCUCGCAUCGAUGAAGAACGCAGCGAAAUGCGAUACGUAAUAUGAAUUGCAGAUAUUCGUGAAUCAUCGAAUCUUUGAACGCACAUUGCGCCCUUUGGUAUUCCAAAGGGCAUGCCUGUUUGAGCGUCAUUUCUCCCUCAAACCCCCGGGUUUGGUGUUGAGCAAUACGCUAGGUUUGUUUGAAAGAAUUUACCGGG
rnacentral:misc_RNA from 1 species